GUCGAGCGGUAACAGAAAGUAGCUUGCUACUUUGCUGACGAGCGGCGGACGGGUGAGUAAUGCUUGGGAACAUGCCUUGAGGUGGGGGACAACAGUUGGAAACGACUGCUAAUACCGCAUAAUGUCUACGGACCAAAGGGGGCUUCGGCUCUCGCCUUUAGAUUGGCCCAAGUGGGAUUAGCUAGUUGGUGAGGUAAUGGCUCACCAAGGCGACGAUCCCUAGCUGGUUUGAGAGGAUGAUCAGCCACACUGGGACUGAGACACGGCCCAGACUCCUACGGGAGGCAGCAGUGGGGAAUAUUGCACAAUGGGCGCAAGCCUGAUGCAGCCAUGCCGCGUGUGUGAAGAAGGCCUUCGGGUUGUAAAGCACUUUCAGUCAGGAGGAAAGGUUAGUAGUUAAUACCUGCUAGCUGUGACGUUACUGACAGAAGAAGCACCGGCUAACUCCGUGCCAGCAGCCGCGGUAAUACGGAGGGUGCGAGCGUUAAUCGGAAUUACUGGGCGUAAAGCGUACGCAGGCGGUUUGUUAAGCGAGAUGUGAAAGCCCCGGGCUCAACCUGGGAACUGCAUUUCGAACUGGCAAACUAGAGUGUGAUAGAGGGUGGUAG
rnacentral:rRNA from 1 species